GGGAGCAAGAUGAAGUCACUGACUCAGGUCCUCAUAUCCCUGCUGUUUUGGGUGUCUGGUGCCAGUGCAGAGAUUGUGAUGACUCAGUCUCCAUCUUCCCUGGCUGUGUCAGAGGAAGAGAAAAUCACCAUCAGCUGCAGAGAACUGUUUUUUUUUAUACAAGUCCAUGUGAAUCUCUGAUUGAGGGGAGCAGGGGCUGCCUCUAUCAUGAACUCAGUUGUCUGCUUUCUGAUCACUCGUCCCUG